CAAUGGCUGUUGGGCCACGGCCCGCUCAACACGACUGCGAGCGCUGUAGCUCCCAUCGGCGGUCGGCGCUCCCGUCCCGUCGUCCUCCCCGCCGCCGUCCUUCCUCCGUCUCUCCAAGCUCGUUUUUGCUUCUUUGUCUGCACUCCCCAACCUCUGGUGCGCCGGAGUGAACUGGGACCAGCUGGAGAUAGGGUCGAGGGGGGGGCGAUGGUGGCCGGCGAGCACCGGCGCCGGCAACCGGAGUGAUGGAGGUGGAGGAGGAGGAACAGGCGCUGUGGUGGACAGCGCGGGCGCGACGGAGCGGGCUGGGGCAGGCGCCGCCGGUCGCUCGGGCUCGGCUCACAUACUUGCACGUGAUUGCUGUAACGUUGUGAAUAAACCAAAGGCAUAUGUCGUCUUCAGAACUUUGUUAUUGGUGAACAUAUUCUUACACCAUCUUCAGGCAUCGAGUCUCCAAUUAAGGAUUGUGCUAUAAGUGUGAAGUGAUAAUUUUACUGUUUUGAGCACUGAAGCUGGUUGGAUCGAAAAAUUGAGCCUUCAAUCUGGUAUUAGUCGUGCCAGGGGAAGUCGUCAGAUUAGCUUGUGAUGCUACAAAUGAUUCUCUAACUAUUAAGGUUUGAUGCUGCUGUUGCACUUUAGUUCAAUGACAGUUUAUUUCUCACAAGACUACAAUAUGUUCCAGCGCCUGUUAAUUAAGUGCAUCUACUUUAUGGAAUGCUAAUGUACAUUUCAUUUCGUCUUCCAUGCUCUUAUCACUGGUUAAAUGUCCAGAGAAGGAAGGAGAUACAGGUGCCAUUGGAUUUGGAUCUAAUGGUCUAGAAGCACGGACUGCGCUGCAGACAAACUCUUAUAAAAUGCACACGCAAUUGAAAGGGCCGUUGGCCGUCUCACUGAAGCACACUUCCAAGCCCUGGCCGUGGCCACACAUAUUCUGAAAGCCCUUCCCAAAUUUUGACAACUCAAUUUCGAUCUGUCUACAUAUCACCAGGUAAUAGAGGAUGUCCCAAACAAAUGCAAGAACAUGUCCAUCAGAAACAAAUGAGUAAAUAUUCAGAUUCACAAAGAAUAAACAAUCACAAAACUUUUAUUGAAGAAACCACGAAACUAUGAAAUUUAUAUUACAGAGUUGAUAGCUCUGAAGCUGAGCUGAGCCUCCUACUAUAAACUCUUUAUUCAGAUGGUACUAAUCAUUCUACCAGACCUAUCAAUCUUGUUCAUGAGGCAACAA